GUGGGGAAUUUUGGACAAUGGGCGCAAGCCUGAUCCAGCAAUGCCGCGUGCAGGAAGAAGGCCUUCGGGUUGUAAACUGCUUUUGUACGGAACGAAACGGUCCGGGUUAAUACCCUGGGCUAAUGACGGUACCGUAAGAAUAAGCACCGGCUAACUACGUGCCAGCAGCCGCGGUAAUACGUAGGGUGCAAGCGUUAAUCGGAAUUACUGGGCGUAAAGCGUGCGCAGGCGGUUUUGUAAGACAGGCGUGGAAUCCCCGGGCUCAACCUGGGAAUUGCGCUUGUGACUGCAAGGCUGGAGUGCGGCAGAGGGGGAUGGAAUUCCGCGUGUAGCAGUGAAAUGCGUAGAUAUGCGGAGGAACACCGAUGGCGAAGGCAAUCCCCUGGGCCUGCACUGACGCUCAUGCACGAAAGCGUGGGGAGCAAACAGGAUUAGAUACCCUUGUAGUCC
rnacentral:rRNA from 1 species